GCCGAGGUGGUGGAACUGGUAGACACGCAGGACUAAGGAUCCUGUGGGCGUCAAAGCCUGUGGGGGUUCGAGUCCCCCUCUCGGCA
rnacentral:tRNA from 1 species